UUAAGUAAUCAAGGAUUAGAUUUAAAUGGGAGAACAAUACCAGGGAGCUAAAUUAGGGGAACAAUUGUUUAUGGCCAUUGUUUAUUUUAUGAGGUUGUAAUAAAUAAUAAUACACCGGUUAUUAAAUCUGUUACAAAAUUUUGAAGGAACUUUGAUGGGAGAACAUUACCAGCUUGACAUUUAUCACAUAUGCAGAUUUAAUUCAAAUGUAUCAUUUGCAUCUUGAAAAAUUAAAUUUAAAUGUAUCAUUUAAUUAAGGAAAAUUUGUAAUUAUUAAGUCAACCUUUUGGCCAUCCGCUUUUAUUACGUCAACCUUUUGAUUAUUUUUAAACACGUCAACCUUGUACUACUAUUAACUUAUAUUACGUUUAUUUACUGAUUACCUGUUAAACCCUUCACAUUUUUUGAACUUAUGAGAUAGAAAAUCUGACUUGGCAUUUUAACCCCUAAAAAAAUUAAAAAUUAUCACUUAAUAAUGCCAACUCAUCAAGACUAUACUCCAAUUUUAAUGAAAAAAAAGACCUAGUACUAUUAUACUCCAAAUUUCCAAAUUCACGAUCCUCCUUUUCACCAUGUUCCUUUCAUCAUCAUAUUACUACUCUCCAUUAAACACAAUACUAUUCAAUUCUUCCUUUAAUUUUCCUUCAUUCCUUUAAUCACCUUAUAUUCAUCUUUUAUCUUUAAACUCCAUUAAAACACACUCCAUAUUCCAGGUGGUGCAUGCCGUAGAAGACAUUUCGAGCAUAAUUGGCAAAAUUUAAGGUUAGUUUGCGAAAUUAAAUCUCCUAAUUUGUGUGUUUAAUGUGUAAUUGGUGUAGUUGAUGGAAUUUAUGGUGAUUAAUUAAAUUGCAAAAAUUGGGAAUUAUCUAGGGAUUUUUAAAAUUGGGGGAAAAUUGGGAAUUAGGGAUUAUGACUAUGUGAUUGUAAUUAGUGAUGUGAAAUUAAAGGGAAUUCAACUAAGUAAUUUUAAUUGUGUGUUAAUUUUUAUUUAAUCAAUCUAAUAUUGAAUCAUAUAAAAAUCAAUUUAGGUGAAAAUGGUGGACCAAUUUUUUGAUACUGUGACAUUAAGAUUUUGGCAUGGUGGUCAAUUUAAAGUGAUAGAAGUGAUAGAUAAUGGGCAGUUGGUGUAUUUUGGAGGAGAUAGUAAAACAUUUGACCUUGAUCCUGAUGAGAUGAGUUAUUUUGAUGUGGUUGACUUGGCUAAGAAGUGUGGUGGUUACAACAAUGUUGAUGAAAUUUUAUACUUAAUGCCUGGGUUGAAAUUGGAAGAUGGGUUAAGGAAAAUUUAUAGUGAUACCGAAGUUGUGGAAAUGGCAAAGUUAGCUGUGAAAUUCAAGGUUGUAAAUGUGUAUGUUGUGCAUUUAUUUGUGGACUUGAAUAUGGCCUCCAAUCAUACAGAAAACGGUCCCCCCAAAACACAACCAUCUAAAGCAUCUUCUUCUACCUCAACUUUAAAAAAAUUAACACCAAAAAGGGGCCCACUUGAUGCUGUAAAGAGGACCUCCCCCCAAAAAAGAUUCCAGACCAACAAAAAAAUAGUGUGGAAACAUCUGUCGAUAAAUGCCAAAAGCAACCCUCCACAUGCUCUCAAAAAAUACAACAUCCACCCUUAUCUACUUCUACUAAACCUAGUCUCACAUCAGAAGCUCAAAAUCCUACAUAUUCAAAUUUUUCCAAAUCAUUAGGUUGGGAUGCUCUGGUUAGUGAUAUAAGUGAGAGCACUAACUCAGAUGUGCCUUAUGAACCUGAUGGAGAUUUUGUUGGAAGUGAUGAAGAGGUUUUCUAUGAUUAUGAUGUAGAUGAAGAGAAUGAAGGGAUUUAUGGGGGUUUAGAGGAAGUAGAAGAGCAGUUUGUUGAUGGCAUACAUGAUAAUGAGAGUGAUAAUAGUGAUGAUGAGUACAGGGAUGUUGUAAAUAAAGUGAAGGUGGUGAACUCUAAACUAGUUGAUGUUGCUUUGCAACUCCAGAAGGAGGCAGCUAAAUGUAAGCUUAGUUCACAAAAUAAUGAACAAGAAGAUCAAGGGAAUGAGGUUGCAAGUGAAGUUGAUGGUGAAGGUAAUGACUCCGAGUACUUUGAUAGUGAGGAUGACAUACAUACUCCACCAGAGAGUGAUAACGAGGACAGAUCUGAAAGAAGAUCAAGAAGGGGGAUGUUAGUGAAUUCCGAAACUGACUUCAAGGGGUUUAAGUGGAAGGUGGGGUUAAGGUUUUCUAAUAGGGAAGCAUUAAAAGAGGUUGUGGCUAAGUUUGCUAUAGUGAAUGGUAGGAAUUUAUUUAUAAGGAUCAGCUCUACGAAAAGGAGACAAGAAUUAGGUUAUAAGUGUGUGCCUAACUGUCCAUUUUAUCUUUAUGGUUCUUGGCAUUCUCAUAAAGCUAGUUUCAUAGUGAGGGUUGUGAGGGAUAAACAUACCUGUAACAGAGAUAUGAAAAAGAAUAGACAACUUAAGUCUACAUGGGUGGCCAAGCAAUUGUUAGAGGUGUUUAGCUAGGCCACAUUGGCCUGCAAAGGAGAUAGUGGAGAUUAUAAAGAGAGCUUAUGCAGCGUUGGUGACUAGAGAUUUUGCAUACAAGGUUAAAUAUGCAGCUCACAAGUUGUUGCAUGGAUCCAUGAGAGAUCAUUAUAGUAAGAUUGGGAGGUAUAGAGAGGCAUUGCAGUUGGCUAGUCCUGGAUCUGUGUUAGAGAUUGUGUGUGGUGGAAAUAAACAAACUGAUCCCCUGUGUUCCAGAGAUUUUUCACAUGUUUCGAGGGUCUUAAGAAAGGGUGGAAGGAUGGGUGUAGGCCUAUCAUUUGUGUGGAUGUUGCCUUCUUAAAGACUUUUCUUGGUGGUCAAAUAAUAAGUGCAGUUGGUAGGGAAGGAAAUGAGCAAAUGUUUCCCAUAGCUUGAGCCGCAGUUGAAGGAGAAAACAAUCUUUCAUGGGAAUGGUUUAUCAACCAUCUUAAAGCUUGCCUCCAACAUUGCCAUAUUGAAUGUUGUUAGCACUGUAUUGCCUAAGGCUGAACAUAGGCAUUGUGCAAGACACAUUUUUGCACAUUGGCACAAAGCAUAUAAAGGGGAUGAGAUGAAAUUGUUAUUUUGGAAGGUUGCUAAAUCCUACAAUGAAGCUGAUUAUAAUGAUGCACUAAAAGAAUUGAGUGAUGCAAACGAAGAAGCUGCUAAGGCCUUUACUACAUACAAACCAGAGUUAUUUUGUAGAGCUUUCUUAUCCACUACCAUGAGGUCUGAUGCUAUUACCAAUAAUAUGGCAGACUUUUAAUGGAUAUAUAAUUAAUGCUAGAACUAAGCAUUUGGUUUAUAUGUUAGAGGAUAUAAGGGUAGCAUUAAUGGAAAGAUUAGUUUCUAAAAGAAAGUAUAUGGAAAAGCAAACCUCAACCCUUUGCCCUAGAAUUCAAGCUAUAUUAGAGAAAGAAAAGACCAAGGCAGCUUAUACCUUCCACAAAUACUCUGUUCAAUGUUAGGCAUAACUUAGAUCAACUUAAUGUAGCCUUAGAAGCUAAGACUUGUACAUGUAGAAAGUGGGAGAUGACAGGAGUACCUUGUUGUCAUGUUGUCGCAUGUAUUUUCUUCUUACACAAACAACCUGAGGAUUAUGUUGACCACUAGUUUACGAGGGAGGAUUAUUUGAGAUCAUAUGCAGGAAACAUACCACCUUGUGCUGGGGAGAGGCAUUGGCCAAACGUGAACAUGAGGUUAGACCCCCCUGCAAUCAAGGUGGGACCAGGAAGGCCAAGAAAAAACAGGAUAAAAGAUCCAUUUGAGGAUAAAAAGAAACCUGGGACUUUGAGAAGACAUGGGAUGAAGAUGACUUGUAGUUUGUGUAAGGUCAAGGGGCAUAACAAAAGAAAAUGCCCUAAUGGCGGUCAAAUUGGAAGUGAGGUGACAGAACCAGCACCUAAAAAAGCUAAGGGAAGGCCUAAGAAGAGCACUACAACAUCUUUGAGUCAGGUUGCAUCCACAUGUACACCUCAGGCUCCUCCAGAGCACUUCACCACUACCGCACACCCCGCUCAGAGGUGGGAGAAUGAUUUUAGGUGGCCUAGGAUCAAAGGGGAGAGGAACUGGAAGGGGAAGAACUACAACUAAACAAGGUGAAGGUCAGACUCAAGCUUUUCAAAGCAAAGGAAAGGGUAAAGGAAAGGGAAGGGGUUGAGGUCGAGGCUCCACACAAGUCAUUCCAAGUGGAGUUGGUGUGUUUAUUACAGAAGAUGGAACUCCCAUGACCAAUGCAAGUGGUAGAAGAGGCUCCGGAAGGGUUCUGACUAGUCAAUCAAGUCAAGUUUGAUCAAGAUGCUUCUGUUAUUGAAUUUAUCUAUGUACUAGACUAUUUUAAGUUAUUUGAUGGACUUAGAGUAUGUAAUACACUUAAGAGAUGUAUUUUAAGAGUAUGCUUCUAACCCUUGCUUUGUGAGAAAUCAUAGUUUUAGAUUAUUAUUAAUAUAUUAUAUACAAUGAAGUUCAGCAAGAGAUUGAAUGAAAAAAAAGAAAAAAAAAAAGGUCCAAGGUAGGAUUGAAGAAGGCACAUAAGUGCCACAUUAAGGCUCAAAAUUAUUCUUUGUUAGGUUCAGGUACACAAAUGCGUUCAUAAAGAAGAAAAAAAAAACGUCAUUCGUCUUUUUUUAAAAAAAAAAAAAAAAAAAAAAAAAAAAAAAAAAAAACAGAUGUAAAAAAAAUGAUGUUACAAGGUUAACGUAUUAAAAAAAAUAAUCAGAAGGAUGACGUAAUAAAAGCAAAGAAUCAAAAGAUUGACUUAUUAUUCACAUAAUUUUCAUUUUUGGAAAAUUACAUCAGCAUUUUUACCUCCACCUAAUACUCCACGUAAGCAAUUAACCCGUUUUUGCAGGUCAUUUUCUAUUUUACGUAAUAUAAGUUAAUAGUAGUACAAGGUUGACGUGUUUAAAAAUAAUCAAAAGGUUGACGUAAUAAAAGCGGACGGCCAAAAGGUUGACUUAAUAAUUACAAAUUUUCCUUUAAUUAAUGACUUGUGGAUAGAAUUUCAGUGAA